UACGUAGGGCGCAAGCGUUGUCCGGAAUUAUUGGGCGUAAAGAGCUCGUAGGCGGUCUGUCGCGUCGGAUGUGAAAGCUCGAGGCUUAACCUCGGGUCUGCAUCCGAUACGGGCAGACUAGAGGCAGGUAGGGGAGAACGGAAUUCCCGGUGUAGCGGUGAAAUGCGCAGAUAUCGGGAGGAACACCGGUGGCGAAGGCGGUUCUCUGGGCCGAUACUGACGCUGAGGAGCGAAAGCGUGGGGAGCGAACAGG
rnacentral:rRNA from 1 species